AAAAAAAAAAAAAAAAAAAAAAAAAAAAAAAAGAGAGGGCGGCCACGUCAGCAGCCACGUCAGCAGGCCCAGUCAGCAGUCCCGGCCAACCAGGGCCUGCCACGUGGCAAGACCGCGUCACUCCAAAAGGAGCCACGUUGGCGAUCCGCGUGGGUGCGAUCCGACGGCCCAAAUCAAUCACGCGAUCGGACGGCCCAAAUUCAAUCGCACGGACGGCCCAAAUUCAAUCAAAAACGAACGGCCCA
rnacentral:lncRNA from 1 species